GCCGAGAAUUGUGCAGUCCAGGGAGAAAAGCCCAGCCCUCCCCUCGCUGCUCUCAGGACACUCUGGUUCUCUGGCAUUGAAAGUAUUGUUCAUCCCAGAGCAUUUCUUCUCCUCCCUGAGAACACCCCUCCUCCCACCCCCAGCCUGUUGGCCCAAAGCCUCCGAGGAGGAGGAGAGAUGUGCUUUUAGCCCAGAGCAUGCUCUCCUCCAAACUAAAACCUAGGUUGGCGUCUUGGCAGCUGAGACUGAGGAAGCAAAACGCAAGGCAGGAUUUUGGAGAGGCUGAGUAGCAGGAGAAUAAAGGAGAAAGGCGGGGCACUCAGGUCCCCAGCACUAGGUGCUUCCUCCCGAGGAAGCCCUGCACUCACUCCAAGAGAAUCCAUCCCUACCACGUGGACUCUGCAAGACCAAGGCCGGAGAGAGGAGAGGGGAGCGGGGAAACCACGGGCCAGGGAUGCCCAAGCGACAGACCAAAGGCUGAGGAACGGGCCCCAGAAUCUGGUGUAAAUCCUCCCACUGAAUAUUUAACAACCAGCCCUGAACCCUGCCCUGGAGGAGCUUCUCUUCCCCUAGGGGCAUACAGCUGAGACCCAGACAAAUCAAGAUAAUGCAAUUGGAAGAGGGAGAAAAAACUGACUGCUGGAAUCCGAAAGAGCUCCCUGGCCUUCACCUGGGAUCCAGCACGACCCAUGUGACCAUCCCGAUGACUGUAGCAGACAGGACCUGCGAGACACCCAGGCCGAGCCGCUCGAUGUUCACAGAAGAAAACAGGCCCAGAGCAGGCGGUGACUUGGCUAGGGACACGCAUCUAGUAAGUGAGAGAUGUUCGUGUCUGUCUUGUC
rnacentral:lncRNA from 1 species